AUUGAACGCUGGCGGCAGGCUUAACACAUGCAAGUCGAGCGGGGUGAUGGUGCUUGCACUAUCACUUAGCGGCGGACGGGUGAGUAAUGCUUAGGAAUCUGCCUAUUAGUGGGGGACAACAUCUCGAAAGGGAUGCUAAUACCGCAUACGUCCUACGGGAGAAAGCAGGGGAUCACUUGUGACCUUGCGCUAAUAGAUGAGCCUAAGUCGGAUUAGCUAGUUGGUGGGGUAAAGGCCUACCAAGGCGACGAUCUGUAGCGGGUCUGAGAGGAUGAUCCGCCACACUGGGACUGAGACACGGCCCAGACUCCUGCGGGAGGCAGUAGUGGGGAAUAUUGGACAAUGGGGGCAACCCUGAUCCAGCGAUGCCGCGUGGGUGAAGAAGGCCUUCGGGUUGUAAAGCCCUUUAGAUUGGGAAGAAGUGUGUAUGACGAAUAAUCAUACAUAUUGACGGUACCGAUAGAAUAAGCACCGGCAAACUCUGUGCCAGCAGCCGCCGUAA
rnacentral:rRNA from 1 species